CUGGUUAAACUUGCUCAUGAUAGGCUGUUUCAAGAGAGAGUUGUUAUAUGUAAGUAUUUUGUGACAUACAUGCACCUUUUAUAUCUAUUUUUUACUUCUUUAUAAACAUAUACAAGAGUUAUUAUUCAAAAAAAAUAUUACUUUUUUGCUAUUUAAAAGUGAAGUCGUAUAAAAAUUGACAUGCUUAAACAUAACUAUGAGGUCAAGUUGGGAUGCGUGGGUCAAAUAAAUUUGAGCACUUCAGCCCCGAUCCCACCUCGAUUAGAUUUAGUUCAAGUUAGGUCAAUUGGCAAACACAAA
rnacentral:lncRNA from 1 species